rnacentral:rRNA from 1 species
GCCUACGGGGGGCAGCAGUGGGGAAUAUUGCGCAAUGGGCGAAAGCCUGACGCAGCGACGCCGCGUGAGGGAUGAAGGUCUUCGGAUCGUAAACCUCUGUCAGCAGGGAAGAACAGUCACUGUGCUAAUCAGCAGUGAAUUGACGGUACCCGCAAAGGAAGCACCGGCUAACUCCGUGCCAGCAGCCGCGGUAAUACGGAGGGUGCGAGCGUUAAUCGGAAUUACUGGGCGUAAAGCGCUCGUAGGCGAUAUGUCAAGUCAAGGGUGAAAUCCCCGCGCUCAACGUGGGAACUGCCUUUGAAACU